rnacentral:tRNA from 1 species
UUUUCUAUAGCUCAGUAGGUAGAGCAUUUGGCUGUUAACCAAGGAGUCGUUGGUUCAAGUCCAACUGGAAAAG